GGCACUGUGGCGGAGUGGUCUAACGCGUGUGACUCGAACAACUAUGAAUGUACAAAAUUAGUAGUCAGUGUCUAUCACAUCUCUUCGGAGGCGCCCGUUCGAAUCGGGCCAGUGUCG